rnacentral:rRNA from 1 species
GUGCCAGCAGCCGCGGUAAUACAGAGGUGGCAAGCGUUGUUCGGAAUUACUGGGCGUAAAGGGCGCGUAGGCGGUCCCAUAAGUCCUGUGUGAAAUCCCCCGGCUCAACUGGGGAAUUGCACGGGAAACUGCGGGGCUUGAGUUCGGGAGAGGGAAGCGGAAUUCCGGGUGUAGCGGUGAAAUGCGUAGAUAUCUGGAGGAAUACCGGUGGCGAAGGCGGCAUCCUGGACCGACAUUGACGCUGAACGGCGAAAGCUAGGGGAGCAAACGGGAUUAGAUACCCUGGUAGUCCACGCCGUAAACGAUGGGCACUAGGUGUGGGAGGUGUCGACUCCUCCCGUGCCGGCGCUAACGCAUUAAGUGCCCCGCCUGGGGAGUACGGCCGCAAGGCUAAAACUCAAAGGAAUUGACGG